rnacentral:lncRNA from 1 species
GUGGUUAGUGUGCAUGCAUAGCAUAUGCAAGGCCCUGGGUACAAUCCCUAGUACUGCAAAAAGAAAAAGAAAAAAAUGCCGUAGAAAGGUGGUAUUUUGCUACCUCCAAAUAUUAACAACUGUGUAUAAAUUUCUUUAUUAUGUCUUUUCUAAAGUAGGAAGCCAAGGGCUACUUUAAGACCAGUAGAAUGAUACAGGACACAGAGAUAGGGAGUAGGAAUAUCAAAAGAGAACAGUACCGUACAGACACAACAUCUCCCAUCUUGAUUUUAUCUUGUACUAUCCCUGCCUAUCUACAUACCUUUUCAUUUACAAAUACUUAUUGAGUAUCAAAUAUAAAUCAAGACCUCUGGUUGUAAGCAACACAUCAAACAGAUUUAAGCAGAGAGGAAUCAAUUGAAUGGAUAUUGAAUAACUCAUAGAAUCUCCCAGAAGCCUAGAGAAUAGGGCUCAGAAUCAAGGAAGCACAAGGAAGACUGAAAUGCACCCUGGGGCAUAGGCAAAAACAUGCCAUCAAACCAGCACAGAAGGAUGCUGUGGCCGCCUCUGCUGAGCCCCAAGAAUCCAUCCCUGAGGUACCUACCGCUGCCCCGGAAACUCCUCCCCUUGUGAAGUCCUGGAAGUCCCUAAAGUUUUGUAUCUAACUGAACUGUGGAGCAUGCUCAUCUAAUUGGUCAAACCCACCUUUCAUACCUAAUCCCUACCUGCAUAGGUGGGGACAUAAGACUCAGAUAUUUUCACUUCUUGAAUGGGAGGCAUCCUCUGUCUUACCCCAGGACUCAUAAAGUAAAUAACUCUCCCAAACAGAAAAGGAUUGAAAUAACAAAGAACCCAAAAAGUAGCAAAUGGCCCCUACUCAUCUACUAUGUGUCAGGCAUUGUGCUAAGUUGUAGGUACUGAGACUUUAAUGAGAGAGACAGGCAUGUAAAUGGAGACUAUUAUGUUGUGUUCAUGAUAAUAGCGUUUAAAUAGGUGUAAGUGAUGCCUUUGGAUCCUGCUGGAGAGAAUAACUGAUUCCCUAGGAAUGGAAAAAGGCCACCAUGAGGAAGUACUGUUUGAAAUGAGACUUGAAGGAUCAGUAGGAUUUGCCUCCUGGAAAAGAGAGAUCCAGAAUGUAAGGGUAUAAGGGAGGCAAGUUUUUACAAAGUCAAGGAAUUAUGAAAAGUGAACUCCUCAGAAUCAAGAUCUUUGAUUACAAAAACAUGCACGGAUUCUAAUGAACCCAAAAGGGAGCUGGAUAAGUAGUAGCACCGAUCAGCAGAAAGUCUGGGAACAAAGAGUGAAAAACUGGCAGGAAUCAAAAGAAGCCAAAGGGCUGAAACCAGAGCCAAUGCAUCAUCCUAGGAGCAGCCUGUCAGGACCCCAGGGUCACCAGCCAAGGGAUCUAUCCCUGCCCUUGGGAACUGAGGGCUGCUAAUACUGCCAUCAACAGAAGGGUGUUCAGUGGCCCCUACACUUUUCAAAGUGCUGGGCUAGAGCAUGAACUUGGUCAAAUCCGAUAGGGUACCCAUGCUCUCACUUCUGGGCAGGCACACUAAGGACAGAGGCAUAAUGGCAACUGACAAGGGACAGUUCACAUAACAGAGACAUAGAAAGUCUGUCUUUGCUAAAAGCAGUGACAUUUUACUGAGGACCAAAAAUACUCCAUGGUAACUAAAAGCAGGAUGAAAAACUUGGCAUCUCUGCCUUCAUUUUGUUUCACUCCCCUUUAUUACCUUAAAAUUUGUGUCGGUUCCCUGCUCAGCUCUGCAUGUAGUCACAUUAAUCUCUUAAGGAGUGUUCAUCUCAAAAGAAGCAAUUCAAAGUUUAUUAGUCUUUCAUUUACCUAACCAAUCUCAUCCCUCUUAAAAACCAAGGUAUGAUUUACUGCAUCCUGUUUAAAACCCCUGGAGUGGUGCCUAGAAGUCUCUGGUUAUUGCCCCCUUCCAGGAUCACAGAUCUGAUAGACAAAGAGCAAAUGGAAAUUGCCCCAUUAAAUGAUGAAGACUUCACUGGAGCUACUUUGCACAACUAGAACUGAGAGAAUGAUCAACCAGACCACAGUUUGACCAAGACUGCUUACUUAUGCAGACCUCUCACUCCUGCCCCAGUUCUUCCCCUAUUUAAAUCAGAACCUCCUGUCUGCAACCCAAAGACAGAGCUGAGAUGCUGGAUCUCACUUUAUCCUCCCUCUAUGGUAUGUAAAUUUCCUUUCCUGCUUUAUGCCAUUACCUUUUCUGCGUAAUUUUUGGAGUGAAUGACCAGACCUGAUUUGUUGGGACCCCCAGAGUUAACCUCUGGCCUAGAUGGCAAUAACAUUCAGAGACAUUUACUCUAACUGGGGGGGGGCUUCAUAAUAGGGUCAGAAGAGAUGAAGGUGGAGAGUGCAUGGGCCUCACUGAUGAGGAACUUGAAUGUUAGACUAAGGGAUUUCUGACACAAUGUAUCUGGGAGUUUCUUUGUGGGUGAAUAACAUGUCAAAAUAACAUGAGACUCAAAGGAGAUUAAUUACAGAAUCAAUUUGCUGCAUGGUUCAGGACAAGAAAAACCCAAGACCUAACCCCUUGGAGAAUGGUAUUAUCAUUUCGGGGUAAAUGGUUAAGGGCCUGGAAGAGUAAUGGGUAUGUAACGAAGAGAAAACGUCAAACCUGAAAAGCCAAGUGCCUCGGGUUAAACAUAUUUGCUAACCUAUCUUGUGUGACCUGCUUGAUUCAGAUGGGUGCAAUUUGUCUGGUUCCUGCAUUGUUCUGCACCUGUGGAAUGUCUAACCUAACUCUUCCAACAGGCAUUAUCUCAGCACCCUGAGCUUCCAACCCAGGCCAGAGGAGUGGCUAGACCUGGCUUUCAACCCUGAGUAGGAAAUGUAGGAGUGCAUCCUCUGACUUCAGAAGCUGCCUUGGUACUCACUAGCAAAUUGUUAUUCUCCUAUUAGAUAUGAACAGUCUCAUGCAAUGUCAAGUUUAGAUGAAGUUACUCUGAGAUCAUGAUAAAUGAGACCAUUUCAUAAUUCUAAGCAUAGACAGAAACAAGGUCACUAUGCCAACUACAAAAUACUAAAUAUCCCACUCUCAGACAAAAUGAAUGAUCGCUACUUCUUUACCAGUUGCAACUUUAUACUCAUUCAUGUCUCCCUUCCCUAUUGACAAUAAUUACUGAGACCCAAUCAUAGAAUUGCCUCUGUUCAUGGCAUCCAAUCUAGAGUGAACCUGCUUCCUUAAGACCUCCCCAAGUCAUGUUGCCAAAGCCCAAGGCUUACAGUAGCUUCUUCCCAACCUCUUGCUGAGACGCCCUAAGGUUCUCCAUGGUGUGUUGUCCAUUGCUUCAAUGACUAAU